UCUUCCGUAGUAUAGUGGUCAGUAUGUGAGCUUGUCAUCCAAGUCGACAUCGCUCGAGACCCGGGUUCAAUUCCCGGCGGGAGAG